rnacentral:rRNA from 1 species
ACAGAGGGGGCAAGCGUUGUUCGGAAUUACUGGGCGUAAAGGGCGUGUAGGCGGCUUCGUAUGUCUGACGUGAAAGCCCCGGGCUUACCCCGGGAAGUGCGUUGGAAACUGCGGAGCUAGAGUCCCGGAGAGGGAGGUGGAAUUCCAGGUGUAGCGGUGAAAUGCGUAGAUAUCUGGAGGAACACCGGUGGCGAAGGCGGCAUCCUGGACCGACACUGACACUGAGGAGCGAAAGCCAGGGGAGCAAACGGGA